AGUGGAAUUGCUGGGUUACAUGGUUAUUAUAUUUUUGAGGAAUUGUAAAACUGUUUUCUACAGAGGCUACACCAUCUUACAUUCCUGCCAGCAAU
rnacentral:pre_miRNA from 1 species